UACGUAGGGUGCGAGCGUUGUCCGGAAUUACUGGGCGUAAAGAGCUCGUAGGUGGUUUGUCGCGUUGUCCGUGAAAACUCACAGCUCAACUGUGGGCGUGCGGGCGAUACGGGCAGACUGGAGUACUGCAGGGGAGACUGGAAUUCCUGGUGUAGCGGUGGAAUGCGCAGAUAUCAGGAGGAACACCGGUGGCGAAGGCGGGUCUCUGGGCAGUAACUGACGCUGAGGCGCGAAAGCGUGGGGAGCGAACAGG
rnacentral:rRNA from 1 species